rnacentral:snRNA from 1 species
CUUACUAUAAAUCUUAGGUAUAAU